rnacentral:rRNA from 1 species
AACGAACGCUGGCGGCGUGCCUAACACAUGCAAGUCGAGCGAGAAAGUCCCUUCGGGGGCGAGUAGAGCGGCGGACGGGUGAGUAAUACGUGGAUAAUCUUCCCUCGAGUUUGGGAUAACCCUGCGAAAGCGGGGCUAAUACCGGAUAAGACCACAUGGCGUAUGCCACGGGGGUAGAAGGUGGCUUGUAUUUAUAUGAGCUAUCACUUGAGGACGAGUCCAUGGCCUAUCAGCUAGUUGGUGAGGUAAGAGCCCACCAAGGCGAUGAUCGGUAGCCGGCCUGAGAGGGUGUACGGCCACACUGGGACUGAGAUACGGCCCAGACUCCUACGGGAGGCAG